UCCAGAAUCGUAAGAAUACUGGAUUAAAGUGGUCAGGCGGCCUGACCAUUUGUCUGAUCAUUCCUGAUUUUAUUUUUAGUAGGGGUAAGUGUGGUGGAAAUUUACAAAGGAAAUUGACAUAGGAAAUCGACACCAAAAUUAUGUCAGAAAAGAUGUAGGUAAUCAUAUUGGAAUCAACGUAUAUUUUUAUCCAGUAACACGAAUGCGUAUUCCUAUAUCAAUUCUCAUAAAAAAUCCUGUGCCAAAUUCAUAUGUGCUUUUUUUAUGGAUUUCUAUGUAGAUUCUUACAAUCAUUCUAGGAUUUUUUAUAAAUUUAUAGUUAGUAUUCUAUGUAAGAUCUUAUGUAGGAUCCUACAUAGGGAUUUUUAGUAGGGCACUGCAAACUUCUUAGCUGUGGUAGCUAAUUUUCAGAGAUUUUACAGCAAACAUAUGUUUACUGCUGCAGCUAAUUUCUUUUUUUCCGUGUAUAGAAUACUUACUAUGAAAAUGACUAUAAUUAAAAAGAAUGUCAAAUUAUGUUCAUAUAAUUAACUUUAUUGUCCACUCAAUCAAAUACGAAGACAUUGUUGGCUGUUUCCUUACGAUUUCAAAUAUCAACGCCUUUCUCCAAAGAAACUGAAUUUUUCUCGAGUGUAAAGACUUUAUCAUUUAAAUUUUGUAUCAAGCUACAUGUAUUUUUAACGUCUAGCCUCAAAUCUAUAUGCGAUUUUGUCAAAUUUAAUUAGAAAGAACAUAUACAAUAAAAUUAAGCUACUCGGAACUUUGAUCUUCGAAAGUAAUAGAAAUACAAUAAAAAUAUAGACUUUAUAAAGUUGUAACAAAGUGUUUCUUUACUUACUCUGUGAAAUCUUUCGGCAUUUUAUUUGCCGCGUACAAAUUAAUAUUCCUUAAAUAAUAGACUUUAAAUUAUUAUUUAUUAGACUUUAAAUUUUAUUGAUUCACGUCAAACUGAGAAUCAACAAUCAUUUUCUCCUUCUGAGAAAACUUACUUUAAAUUUUUCCACUACUGUAAAAUUUAGUUUCUCUUAAAAUAUUGUUAUUUAAACCUGAAAAUUAGCGAACCGUCAGAUCGCUGGUCAACACUAUUGUUAUUAAACAUAAGAAGGUGAUACUCGAUUUAUCAUUUCAUGUCCACUGUCAUCGCGAGAUCCGGAUUUUCAAUCUUCGGGAUCACUGCCGAGAGAUUGAUUCGUAUUCCAACAAGUAAUGUUUUACUUGUAAUCAUUACGGGUCAUACGAAGUGACAAUAAGGCGAAAGUCCAUCGACGAGGACAUCAGCUGUCAAAACACUGGCUGCAGCCAUCUUGCGAUCCGGACGUCGUCGCGCAGUGCCCCUCGCGGAGACUAAACGAACUUUCAUGAACUUUUUUUCGACGGUCGAUAAAUGACCUGAAUUACUUACUGUCGCGCAUCGAUUACCUACCGAAAAUCUUUAUAUCAAGUGCGCGUGAGAGCAGGUAACUAUCAAAAUUCCCCAACGGCAAAUUUCCCCAAGCGGCGUUUGACCCAAUAUGCUAUAGUGAGUGCUGUUUUCGAUGAUGUUGGAGAAAUCUGCAAAAAUGAUAAAAAUGUAGUUGUGAGAAGUCCGCGAGAUGCCGACAUUGUUUCAGUUUGCGUAUUUGUAAAAUUCACAUAGUCGUAGACAUUUUUGUAGAAUUCAGAAAAUAAUAUGAGUGGUGAUCAGGAUUCCUGGUGGUGAUUCAAUAAAUAAAUGUUAUAUAAUUCUAAUUACAAUUUUGUAAAAUGAACUAAUUAAUUAAUUAAUUAAUUAAUUAAUUAAAUAAUUAAGAAGUGACAGAGUUAUUGCCUGUCUUAAUUAAUUAUGUGGAUUGAUUGUCAACAGUUCCAAAUGAAAAAAAAAUAAUGAGAAUAAUAAUGGAUACCAAUUUAGAGCUUUCUGCAAGUGGACAGAGACACCAAAAGAUGUCGAAUCAACCUCAAGGCAACCAGAGACGAGGAAACAAUUUAAAUCGACUUCAAAUUGCUUCAAGACUUGCUUUCAUUAGAGUUAUUGUCAAUUAUUGUUCAUAUUUUUUUUUAAUUAAUAUCAAUUACUACUAUUAAUUAUUACUAAUAUUAGUAUUAAUAGAACAUUUCGUUCGAGAACUAUUUAUUUUAAAAAAAACAUUUUUUUUCAAUAUUUAUAAUUUGUUUUUUCAAUAAAUACAAAUUUUUUUUAAAAACUUUCAAUUCACUUUUUCUAAAUUUUGGAAAUUGUACUAAUUAUACUUAAAAUAUUGACUAAUUUAUCAAACAAAUAGAAUAAUUUAUAAUUCGUUUGCUUCUUGGUUACAUUUCUUGGGAAUGCGUCAUGUAUAUAGUUAAUAUAUUAAUUUGUAAUUUGUAGGAUCUAAAU